GACGAACGCUGGCGGCGUGCUUAACACACGCAAGUCGAACGAUGAAGCUAGAGCUUGCUCUGGUGAAUUAGUGGCGAACGGGUGAGUAACACGUGAGUAACCUGCCCCGGACUCUGGGAUAACUGCUGGAAACGGUAGCUAAUACUGGAUACGACCUACGAAGGCAUCUUCUGUAGGUGGAAAGAAUUUGGUUCGGGAUGGACUCGCGGCCUAUCAGCUUGUUGGUGAGGUAUGGCUCACCAAGGCGACGACGGGUAGCUGGCCUGAGAGGGUGACCGGCCACACUGGGACUGAGACACGGCCCAGACUCCUACGGGAGGCAGCAGUGGGGAAUAUUGCACAAUGGGCGCAAGCCUGAUGCAGCAACGCCGCGUGAGGGAUGACGGCCUUCGGGCUGUAAACCUCUUUUAGUAGGGAAGAAGCGAAAGUGACGGUACCUGCAGAAAAAGCACCGGCUAACUACGUGCCAGCAGCCGCCGUAA
rnacentral:rRNA from 1 species